rnacentral:rRNA from 1 species
ACGGGAGGCAGCAGUGGGGAAUAUUGCACAAUGGGCGCAAGCCUGAUGCAGCGAUGCCGCGUGAGGGAAGAAGGUUUUCGGAUUGUAAACCUCUGUCAUCGGGGACGAUAAUGACUGUACCCGAGAAGGAAGCUCCGGCUAACUACGUGCCAGCAGCCGCGGUAAUACGUAGGGAGCGAGCGUUAUCCGGAAUUACUGGGUGUAAAGGGAGUGUAGGCGGGACUGUAAGUCAGAUGUGAAAUAUGCCGGCUCAACUGGCAGACUGCAUUUGAAACUGCGGUUCUUGAGUGAAGUAGAGGUAAGCGGAAUUCCUAGUGUAGCGGUGAAAUGCGUAGAUAUUAGGAAGAACACCAGUGGCGAAGGCGAUCUACUGGACAGUAACUGACGCUGAGGCGCGAAAGCGUGGGGAGCAAACAGGAUUAGAUACCCUGGUA